AAUAUCUGGGCACCCUGGGGCCCAAUCAGGUUGACACAAAAAAUUAACCAUCACUUUGUGUAAAUCUAUCUGCUCCCAGGCCCUGGACGGAGGAGGCCGGCUGAGCCUGAGGGUGAGAAGUGGUCCUUGGCCCAAGUUCCCCUGAAGAGGAAGCAGUCCUGGGCACCCAGCAGGUGCUCAACACAUGCUCCUGGAACGAGUAACAACAGCAACAGUUAAGCCGUGUGGCAGCUCAGGGGUGCGCGCUGCUGACCAUGAAGCUCUAUAGGCUGCCUGACCCCCACCGACCCAGGGGGACGCCACAGACCAAAGGACUCCAGGCCUGGCCCUCUGGGGUGAAGAAUGGAUUCUGUCUCGAAAAAGAGAAUGUGGGGGGCCCAAAGGAGCCAGCCACGGAUUGUUCCAGAAAUAAAAGGGGGAUGCAAAGAA